rnacentral:rRNA from 1 species
UCUCCCACCCUUUGUUUAUCACACUUUGUUGCUUUGGCGGGCCUGCCUCACGGCUGCCGGCGUAAGCUGGCUCGCGCCCGCCAGAGACCCCCAAACUCUGAAUAUUGUCGUCUGAGUAAUAUAUAAUAAGUUAAAACUUUCAGCAACGGAUCUCUUGGUUCUGGCAUCGAUGAAGAACGCAGCGAAAUGCGAUAAGUAAUGUGAAUUGCAGAAUUCAGUGAAUCAUCGAAUCUUUGAACGCACAUUGCGCCCUCUGGUAUUCCGGGGGGCAUGCCUGUUCGAGCGUCAUUACAACCCUCAAGCUCUGCUUGGUAUUGGGCGUCACCACCUGGUGCGCCUCAAAAACAGUGGCGGUGCCGUCUGGCUUCAAGCGUAGUAAUUUUUCUCGCUCCGGAGUCCAGGCGAGUGCUCGCCAGAACCCCCAAUUUAUCAAAGGUUGACCUCGGAUCAGGUAGG